UACAGAGGGUGCGAGCGUUAAUCGGAUUUACUGGGCGUAAAGCGUGCGUAGGCGGCUUUUUAAGUCGGAUGUGAAAUCCCCGAGCUUAACUUGGGAACGGCAUUCAAAACUGGCUAGCUAGAGUACAGCAGAGGAUAGUGGAAUUUCCGGUGUAGCGGUGAAAUGCGUAGAGAUCGGAAGGAACACCAGUGGCGAAGGCGGCCUUCUGGUCUGACACUGACGCUGAGGUGCGAAAGCGUGGGUAGCAAACAGG
rnacentral:misc_RNA from 1 species